rnacentral:lncRNA from 1 species
AGAUACCAUCAAUGUUUCUACAGUGUUUAUGGAGUUUUCAAUGGCCAUCACAACCAGGAGAAUGCCAGAAAUGAAUACAUGUCAAAUAAUUCACAAUUGUCAUCAGAAAACCACUGUGAAAAAAACAUUUUUAGAUAAGUAGUAUAUUUUUGAUGAUAUUUAAAACAUAAGAAAUACAUUUAUCUAAGAUAAGUAGUAUCUCAUCUCUCUUUUCUCAUCUUUUCUCUCAAGCAGACGCCGUUUCUUGAACUGUUAUCUCUCCAACAUCAGUUUUUUUCACCAGCGACAUGAGACGGCUCUCCUUUUGUCCUUUUUUCUUGUUCUUCAGCCCGUGCUUCAUCUACUGGUGCAUUUUCUCUCUUAUCGGCGGUGGUGGUUUAGAUCUGAGGUGGUGGUGAAGUCACGUUGACGUUCAUUCUCCUUUUGUGGUUGCACUUCCCGGUCUGAUCUAUGGAGGUAGGUCGAUAUCAAGUUCCCCCAGAAUUUAUACAUGUGGCGCAUGCGUUCUACAGCGGGUGUGCUUCUCAGAUCUAGCAGCAUGGAGGUUCUCGGGGAGGAGGCAAGACGUGGUUGGUUUCUGUUUCGGAACCACUAGCUUCUCAAAUUUUUUCUUUCAGCCACUUUGAGGACGCCGGGCGGAGCUCUAGAGUAGGAUUUCUCAGUGGCGGCGGAGACCAGUUAGAUGUGGGGUGCGAUUAGGGAUGUCAAGUUGGGCGGCCCACACCCAAAUGGGUGUGUACAGUUG